UACGGGAGGCAGCAGUGGGGAAUAUUGCACAAUGGGCGCAAGCCUGAUGCAGCCAUGCCGCGUGUGUGAAGAAGGCCUUCGGGUUGUAAAGCACUUUCAGUCGUGAGGAAGGUGGUGUAGUUAAUAGCUGCAUUAUUUGACGUUAGCGACAGAAGAAGCACCGGCUAACUCCGUGCCAGCAGCCGCGGUAAUACGGAGGGUGCGAGCGUUAAUCGGAAUUACUGGGCGUAAAGCGCAUGCAGGUGGUUUGUUAAGUCAGAUGUGAAAGCCCGGGGCUCAACCUCGGAAUAGCAUUUGAAACUGGCAGACUAGAGUACUGUAGAGGGGGGUAGAAUUUCAGGUGUAGCGGUGAAAUGCGUAGAGAUCUGAAGGAAUACCGGUGGCGAAGGCGGCCCCCUGGACAGAUACUGACACUCAGAUGCGAAAGCGUGGGGAGCAAACAGGAUUAGAUACCCUGGUAGUCCACGCCGUAAACGAUGUCUACUUGGAGGUUGUGGCCUUGAGCCGUGGCUUUCGGAGCUAACGCGUUAAGUAGACCGCCUGGGGAGUACGGUCGCAAGAUUAAAACUCAAAUGAAUUGACGGGGGCCCGCACAAGCGGUGGAGCAUGUGGUUUAAUUCGAUGCAACGCGAAGAACCUUACCUACUCUUGACAUCCAGAGAACUUUCCAGAGAUGGAUUGGUGCCUUCGGGAA
rnacentral:rRNA from 1 species